AGCGGAGGAAAAGAGAACCAACAGGGAUUGCCUCAGUAACGGCGAGUGAAGCGGCAACAGCUCAAAUUUGAAAUCUGGCCCCCCGGGUCCGAGUUGUAAUUUGCAGAGGAUGCUUUUGGCGCGGUGCCUUCCGAGUUCCCUGGAACGGGACGCCAUAGAGGGUGAGAGCCCCGUACGGUUGGACACCAAGCCUGUGUAAAGCUCCUUCGACGAGUCGAGUAGUUUGGGAAUGCUGCUCAAAAUGGGAGGUAUAUUUCUUCUAAAGCUAAAUACCGGCCAGAGACCGAUAGCGCACAAGUAGAGUGAUCGAAAGAUGAAAAGCACUUUGAAAAGAGGGUUAAACAGCACGUGAAAUUGUUAAAAGGGAAGCGCUUGUGACCAGACUUGCGCCCGGUGAAUCACCCAGCUCUCGCGGCUGGGGCACUUUGCCGGCUCAGGCCAGCAUCAGCUCGCCGUCGGGGACAAAAGCUUCGGGAACGUAGCUCUCUUCGGGGAGUGUUAUAGCCCGCUGCACAAUACCCUUCGGCGGGCUGAGGUACGCGCUCCGCAAGGAUGCUGGCGUAAUGGUCAUCAGCGACCCGUCUUGAAACACGGACCAAGGAGUCAACCUUA
rnacentral:rRNA from 1 species